rnacentral:rRNA from 1 species
UACGAAGGGGGCUAGCGUUGCUCGGAAUCACUGGGCGUAAAGCGCACGUAGGCGGACUCUUAAGUCAGGGGUGAAAUCCUGGAGCUCAACUCCAGAACUGCCUUUGAUACUGAGAGCCUUGAGUCCGGAAGAGGUAAGUGGAACUGCGAGUGUAGAGGUGAAAUUCGUAGAUAUUCGCAAGAACACCAGUGGCGAAGGCGGCUUACUGGUCCGGUACUGACGCUGAGGUGCGAAAGCGUGGGGAGCGAACAGG